rnacentral:rRNA from 1 species
GAUGAACGCUGGCGGCGUGCCUAAUACAUGCAAGUCGAGCGAACGGACGAGAAGCUUGCUUCUCUGACGUUAGCGGCGGACGGGUGAGUAACACGUGGAUAACCUACCUAUAAGACUGGGAUAACUUCGGGAAACCGGAGCUAAUACCGGAUAAUAUUUUGAACCGCAUGGUUCAAUAGUGAAAGACGGUCUUGCUGUCACUUAUAGAUGGAUCCGCGCUGCAUUAGCUAGUUGGUAAGGUAACGGCUUACCAAGGCAACGAUGCAUAGCCGACCUGAGAGGGUGAUCGGCCACACUGGAACUGAGACACGGUCCAGACUCCUACGGGAGGCAGCAGUAGGGAAUCUUCCGCAAUGGGCGAAAGCCUGACGGAGCAACGCCGCGUGAGUGAUGAAGGUCUUCGGAUCGUAAAACUCUGUUAUUAGGGAAGAACAAAUGUGUAAGUAACUGUGCACAUCUUGACGGUACCUAAUCAGAAAGCCACGGCUAACUACGUG